AGCGAACGCUGGCGGCAGGCCUAACACAUGCAAAUCGAACGAACUCUUCGGAGUUAGUGGCGGACGGGUGAGUAACACGUGGGAACGUGCCUUUUGGUUCGGAAUAACUCAGGGAAACUUGUGCUAAUACCGAAUGUGCCCUUCGGGGGAAAGAUUUAUCGCCAUUAGAGCGGCCCGCGUCUGAUUAGCUAGUUGGUGAGGUAACGGCUCACCAAGGCGACGAUCAGUAGCUGGUCUGAGAGGAUGACCAGCCACACUGGGACUGAGACACGGCCCAGACUCCUACGGGAGGCAGCAGUGGGGAAUCUUGCGCAAUGGGCGAAAGCCUGACGCAGCCAGGCCGCGUGAAUGAUGAAGGUCUUAGGAUUGUAAAAUUCUUUCACCGGGGACGAUAAUGACGGUACCCGGAGAAGAAGCCCCGGCUAACUUCGUG
rnacentral:rRNA from 1 species